rnacentral:rRNA from 1 species
UACGUAGGGUGCGAGCGUUGUCCGGAAUUAUUGGGCGUAAAGAGCUUGUAGGCGGUUUGUCGCGUCUGCUGUGAAAAUCCGGGCUCAACCCGGACUUGCAGUGGGUACGGGCAGACUAGAGUGUGGUAGGGGAGACUGGAAUUCCUGGUGUAGCGGUGGAAUGCGCAGAUAUCAGGAGGAACACCGAUGGCGAAGGCAGGUCUCUGGGCCACAACUGACGCUGAGGAGCGAAAGCGUGGGGAGCGAACAGG